UACGUAGGGUGCAAGCGUUAAUCGGAAUUACUGGGCGUAAAGCGCGCGUAGGCGGUUAGAUAAGUCGGAUGUGAAAGCCCCGGGCUCAACCUGGGAACUGCAUUCGAUACUGUCUGACUAGAGUAUGAGAGAGGGAGGUAGAAUUCCACGUGUAGCGGUGAAAUGCGUAGAUAUGUGGAGGAAUACCGGUGGCGAAGGCAGCCCCCUGGGUUAACACUGACGCUCAGGCACGAAAGCGUGGGGAGCAAACAGG
rnacentral:rRNA from 1 species